UCCCCGAUGGUGUAAUGGCAGCACAGAGGUUUUUGGUACCUUUAGUUGGAGUUCGAGUCUCUAUCGGGGAA
rnacentral:tRNA from 1 species